rnacentral:rRNA from 1 species
UGGGGAAUCUUGCACAAUGGGGGAAACCCUGAUGCAGCGACGCCGCGUGAGCGAUGAAGCCCUUCGGGGUGUAAAGCUCUUUCGGCAGGAACGAUAAUGACGGUACCUGCAGAAGAAGCUGCGGCUAACUACGUGCCAGCAGCCGCGGUAAUACGUAGGCAGCAAGCGUUGUUCGGAAUUACUGGGCGUAAAGAGUGUGUAGGUGGUGUCGUAAGUUUGGUGUGAAAUCUCCCGGCUUAACUGGGAGGGUGCGCCGAAGACUGCGAUGCUUGAGUAUGGGAGAGGAAAGCGGAAUUCCUGGUGUAGCGGUGAAAUGCGUAGAUAUCAGGAGGAACACCUGCGGUGUAGACGGCUUUCUGGACCAUUACUGACACUGAGACACGAAAGCGUGGGUAGCAAACA